rnacentral:rRNA from 1 species
GUGGGGAAUUUUGGACAAUGGGGGCAACCCUGAUCCAGCCAUGCCGCGUGCGGGAAGAAGGCCUUCGGGUUGUAAACCGCUUUUGUCAGGGAAGAAAUCCUUAGGGUUAAUACCUCGGAGGGAUGACGGUACCUGAAGAAUAAGCACCGGCUAACUACGUGCCAGCAGCCGCGGUAAUACGUAGGGUGCGAGCGUUAAUCGGAAUUACUGGGCGUAAAGCGUGCGCAGGCGGUUUUGUAAGAUCGAUGUGAAAUCCCCGGGCUCAACCUGGGAACUGCAUUGGUGACUGCAAGGCUGGAGUGCGGCAGAGGGGGAUGGAAUUCCGCGUGUAGCAGUGAAAUGCGUAGAUAUGCGGAGGAACACCGAUGGCGAAGGCAAUCCCCUGGGCCUGCACUGACGCUCAUGCACGAAAGCGUGGGGAGCAAACAGGAUUAGAAACCCCAGUAGUCC